rnacentral:tRNA from 1 species
GGUAAAGCGCGUCCUUGGUAAGGACGAGACCCCGGAUUCAAAUUCCGGCCUAGGCU